rnacentral:rRNA from 1 species
GAUGAACGCUGCCUUUGUGCCUAAUACAUGCAAGUCGAGCGAACGGACGAGAAGCUUGCUUCUCUGAUGUUAGCGGCGGACGGGUGAGUAACACGUGGAUAACCUACCUAUAAGACUGGGAUAACUUCGGGAAACCGGAGCUAAUACCGGAUAAUAUUUUGAACCGCAUGGUUCAAAAGUGAAAGACGGUCUUGCUGUCACUUAUAGAUGGAUCCGCGCUGCAUUAGCUAGUUGGUAAGGUAACGGCUUACCAAGGCAACGAUGCAUAGCCGACCUGAGAGGGUGAUCGGCCACACUGGAACUGAGACACGGUCCAGACUCCUACGGGAGGCAGCAGUAGGGAAUCUUCCGCAAUGGGCGAAAGCCUGACGGAGCAACGCCGCGUGAGUGAUGAAGGUCUUCGGAUCGUAAAACUCUGUUAUUAGGGAAGAACAUAUGUGUAAGUAACUGUGCACAUCUUGACGGUACCUAAUCAGAAAGCCACGGCUAACUACGUGCCAGCAGCCGCGGUAAUACGUAGGUGGCAAGCGUUAUCCGGAAUUAUUGGGCGUAAAGCGCGCGUAGGCGGUUUUUUAAGUCUGAUGUGAAAGCCCACGGCUCAACCGUGGAGGGUCAUUGGAAACUGGAAAACUUGAGUGCAGAAGAGGAAAGUGGAAUUCCAUGUGUAGCGGUGAAAUGCGCAGAGAUAUGGAGGAACACCAGUGGCGAAGGCGACUUUCUGGUCUGUAACUGACGCUGAUGUGCGAAAGCGUGGGGAUCAAACAGGAUUAGAUACCCUGGUAGUCCACGCCGUAAACGAUGAGUGCUAAGUGUUAGGGGGUUUCCGCCCCUUAGUGCUGCAGCUAACGCAUUAAGCACUCCGCCUGGGGAGUACGACCGCAAGGUUGAAACUCAAAGGAAUUGACGGGGACCCGCACAAGCGGUGGAGCAUGUGGUUUAAUUCGAAGCAACGCGAAGAACCUUACCAAAUCUUGACAUCCUUUGACAACUCUAGAGAUAGAGCCUUCCUCUUCGGGGGACAAAGUGACAGGUGGUGCAUGGUUGUCGUCAGCUCGUGUCGUGAGAUGUUGGGUUAAGUCCCGCAACGAGCGCAACCCUUAAGCUUAGUUGCCAUCAUUAAGUUGGGCACUCUAAGUUGACUGCCGGUGACAAACCGGAGGAAGGUGGGGAUGACGUCAAAUCAUCAUGCCCCUUAUGAUUUGGGCUACACACGUGCUACAAUGGACAAUACAAAGGGCAGCGAAACCGCGAGGUCAAGCAAAUCCCAUAAAGUUGUUCUCAGUUCGGAUUGUAGCCUGCAACUCGACUACAUGAAGCUGGAAUCGCUAGUAAUCGUAGAUCAGCAUGCUACGGUGAAUACGUUCCCGGGUCU